rnacentral:lncRNA from 13 species
AUGUCUUCCUCCUCUUCUAGAAUCUUCAUAAAGCACAUUUGCUCUCGGGGGCCCCCUGGUUGCCCCUGGAUGCUUCAUUUUCAUCAGCCUCCUUUCCUCAAGUCAGUUUCCAGGCCUAUCCAGGGGUAUCCUCAGUCUCACUUGAAGCUCCCCGAAGUGUCACCGAAACAAUCGUUGGCAAGCACACAAAGCCCUGUAGAUGCUGACUCUAAGGAAGAAGAGGCAGAGGGAGGAGGACAAAACCGGCAUCUUUAUUGAGAUUCAAGUUUCAGCUGAUGACACCAGACACAUUUACCACAGCUUGGCUUUGGCAACAGAGUCCUAGGGUCAGACCCAAACCAGCAGCUGUGCAGACAGAGGUAAGGUGCUUAAUGCUGCGCCAUCUGCUUCCAUGCCUUUUUUUUUUUUGAGACAAUCUUGCUCUGUCGCCAGGCUGGAGUGCAGUGGCACAAUCUCGACUCACUGCAACCUCUGCCUCGUGGGUUCAAGCGAUUCUUCCACCUCAGCCUCCUGAGAAGCUGAGACCACAGGCGCGUGCCAUCACAGCCAGCUAAUUUUUGUAUUUUUAGUAGAGACAGGGUUUCACCAUGUUGGCCAGGAUGGUCUCAACUCUUGACCUCAUGAUCUGCCCAUCUCAGUCUUCCAAAGUGCUGGGAUUACAGGCAUGAGCCACCGCGCCCGGCUUGCGUCCACAUCUUAACAGGGACACAGUGCCUGCUGCGUACAGAGGUGUUUUCACAUUGGCCGGCACAGGCAGAUGAAGGAAAGUUUGACUCACCGCCCAAGCUCUCCUGGGACCACGGGAACCACUUUGUUGGUGGCUUUGGAGUCCAUUGGACUAGUGGGCCAGGUUGUCUGCAUCUCAGUCGCGGCUCCACCCCUCAGGGCCAGGUCUGAGUGAGGCUGCCGAGGAGCUCCACUUGGCCCAAAACUUAAGGGGCAAACAAAAACUCUGUUAUCAAGCUAGAUAAUACCUUAAUGCAGGCUGGGCACAGUGGCUCACACCUGUAAUCCCAGCACUUUGGGAGUCUGAGGUGAGUGGAUCACAAGGUAGGAAUUCGAUACCAGCCUGGCCGACAUGGCAAAACCCUGUUUCUUAAAGUACAAAAAUUAGCCAGGCAUAGUGGCACAUGCCUGGAGUAGUCCCAGCUACUUGGGAGGCUGAGGGAGGAGAAUCUCUUGAACCCAGGAGGCAGAGGUUGCAGUGAGCAGAGACUGCGCCAUGGCACUCCAGCCUGGGUGACAGAGUGAGAUCCCAU